GGGUGAUCUAAAUUGUGCUCAUGAGGAAAUAGACAUCUUCAAUCCCGCGAUAUCAAAGUUGUUACAGUGCUCACUCUAGAGGAAGAGGAAGAGUAACUCAAUAUCAGUUGAGGAUCAUAUUGCAUUAGCCUAGAUUACUUGAGAGAUAUAUACACCUAAAUAACUGGUUCUCACCUUUAAUUCCUCAUCACUCAUCUACCAAAGUUUACUCUCAAAUCAACAUGUCCAGGACCCUAUUAGAGAGAUUAAUUCCCCUAGGAAAUCAAGGAGAGGAGCCUUAACUAGAAAAAGAUGAUUUGGUACCUUGAAUUGGAUAAUGAAAUCACCAAACAUGUCCGAAUCCCUCCUAUGAUGCAGAAAAAAAACCCACAAUCAAACAGGAUUCAGGGGAGUAUACUUGUAAAUACAAAGAAUGAACCAAUGUACCUCUUGAGCAAGUGCAGUGACAUAACCAAGUUGCUCUGUCUUGCAACGGGACCAUAUAACAGAAGUUAAAUUGUUGUUCAUAGCAAACUCAAAAC
rnacentral:lncRNA from 1 species